AGUGAACGCUGGCGGUAGGCCUAACACAUGCAAGUCGAACGGCAGCACAGUAAGAGCUUGCUCUUACGGGUGGCGAGUGGCGGACGGGUGAGGAAUACAUCGGAAUCUACUUUUUCGUGGGGGAUAACGUAGGGAAACUUACGCUAAUACCGCAUACGACCUACGGGUGAAAGCAGGGGAUCUUCGGACCUUGCGCGAUUGAAUGAGCCGAUGUCGGAUUAGCUAGUUGGCGGGGUAAAGGCCCACCAAGGCGACGAUCCGUAGCUGGUCUGAGAGGAUGGUCAGCCACACUGGAACUGAGACACGGUCCAGACUCCUACGGGAGGCAGCAGUGGGAAAUAUUGGACAAUGGGCGCAAGCCUGAUCCAGCCAUACCGCGUGGGUGGAGAAGGCCUUCGGGUUGUAAAGCCCUUUUGUUGGGAAAGAAAAGCAGCAGGUUAAUACCCCGCUGUUCUGACGGUACCCAAAGAAUAAGCACCGGCUAACUUCGUG
rnacentral:rRNA from 1 species